AUUGAACGCUGGCGGCAGGCCUAACCCAUGCAAGUCGAGCGGAGCGGCGGACGGGUGAGUAAUGCCUAGGAAUCUGCCUGGUAGUGGGGGAUAACGUCCGGAAACGGGCGCUAAUACCGCAUACUAUCAGAUGAGCCUAGGUCGGAUUAGCUAGUUGGGGGGGUAAAGGACAACUAAGGCGACGAUCCGUAACUGGUCUGAUCGGAUGAUCAGUCAAACUGGAACUGAGAAACGGUCCAGAAUCCUACGGGAGGCAGCAGUGGGGAAUAUGGGACAAUGGGGGAAAGCCUGAUACAGCCAUGCCGCGUGUGUGAAGAAGGUCUUAGGAUUGUAAAGCACUUUAAGUUGGGAGGAGUUACCUACAGAAUAAGCACCGGCUAACUUCGUGCCAACAGCCGCGGUAG
rnacentral:rRNA from 1 species